rnacentral:tRNA from 1 species
GGCGCGAUGGCUGACUGGCAAAGUGCUUGGCUUUUAAACUGGGGGUCCCGGGUUCAAAUCCUGGUGAUGACU